rnacentral:tRNA from 2 species
GGGGCCGUGGCCCAAUUGGCAGAGGCACACGGUUUAGGUCCGUGCCAGUGUGGGUUCGAGUCCCACCGGCCCCACCG